rnacentral:lncRNA from 1 species
AGCAGUUAAAUAUCAUAAACAUAUCAGCAUUCAUAUCUCACAUACAUUCACAUAAAUAACAAAAUUAAAGCUAAGUGUUUAAGUGCCACCAAGGCAUAAAUAUCAGUUGAAUAAAAAGUAUUUCGAAAAUGCCCCUGAACUAGUUAUGCUUCCUAUCUCUUAUUUUUCUAAUUUCAUGCUCCCCUGGUUCUGCUUUCUUUCCUUUCCUAGGUUUUUGGUUCCUUUACCCUGGUACCAUACUACUCCCAUUUUUUGUCAGCAUCAAAGGAGGAGGAUUCUACUCAUCAGAUGAAGUAGAGGGAGAGGAUUCAGUUCCAUAAAAAGGGUUAAGAGGAAAUGAAAAGGGUUCUCGGAGAUGAGAUGACUUUCUAGGAGAGGAGUUUGAAGAAG